rnacentral:rRNA from 1 species
GGGGAUGCGUCUGAUUAGCUUGUUGGCGGGGUAACGGCCCACCAAGGCUACGAUCAGUAGGGGUUCUGAGAGGAAGGUCCCCCACAUUGGAACUGAGACACGGUCCAAACUCCUACGGGAGGCAGCAGUGAGGAAUAUUGGUCAAUGGACGAGAGUCUGAACCAGCCAAGUAGCGUGCAGGAAGACGGCCCUAUGGGUUGUAAACUGCUUUUAUAAGGGAAUAAAGUGAGUCUCGUGAGACUUUUUGCAUGUACCUUAUGAAUAAGGACCGGCUAAUUCCGUGCCAGCAGCCGCGGUAAUACGGAAGGUCCGGGCGUUAUCCGGAUUUAUUGGGUUUAAAGGGAGCGUAGGCCGGAGAUUAAGCGUGUUGUGAAAUGUAGAUGCUCAACAUCUGCACUGCAGCGCGAACUGGUUUCCUUGAGUACGCACAAAGUGGGCGGAAUUCGUGGUGUAGCGGUGAAAUGCUUAGAUAUCACGAAGAACUCCGAUUGCGAAGGCAGCUCACUGGAGCGCAACUGACGCUGAAGCUCGAAAGUGCGGGUAUCGAACAGGAUUAGAUACCCUGGUAGUCCGCACGGUAAACGAUGGAUGCCCGCUGUUGGUCUGAAUAGGUCAGCGGCCAAGCGAAAGCAUUAAGCAUCCCACCUGGGGAGUACGCCGGCAA